GGAACAUGACUCUUCAGCGUGGGAUUGGGUGGAUGGAUUGAGGCAGAAAUAUCUACCUCGUCAGACCCUCUCUCUCCCUCAUCUCUUCUUCAUCCCGCUCCUCUUCUCUAGGCCGCCGCCGCGGCUUUCCUCCUCCCUCUCGGCUGCCUCAUCUCCUCUGCCUCCACCUCCACUGCCUCCUUACCCAACUAGCACGGGCAAGACGACGUGCAGGCAAAGGGAGAUGGCGGCGGCGCUCAAUUCGGUCAGCAGUACAGAGAAGAUGAGAGGGAGAGAGAGAGGAAAGGGGAGAGGGAGGUGCGCCUGUCCCUCACCCCAUGUCCCCGGCGCACCGUCGCCCCUCCAAGCCUUGGUGGUCCAGGGAGGAGUAGAUGACACCAACUUCGAUUCCGGCCUCCGCCCUGAGCUCCGCCGCCUCACGAACUCGAGGCGAGGGGCGCCGCCCCCACGAGCUCACUCCGCCUCUCGAGGACCUCCUCUCCUUCGCGGCCCCGAGCGAUGUCUUGAACUCUUCUGUCCCUACACAUGGUCAGCAUCAGCAGAGGGCCAAACUAUAUUCGUUUGAAGGAUGCAACUGCAGGCGCAAACAAUUUUGCUGGGUAGGUGGUCAAACCCCUAUUCUAUUGUUGUGAUACUGGUGAGCUUGCACGGUGCAGCAGCCUGGAGAGGCGGCUAACGGCGCACCUGCGAAGCAACAAUAAACACGUCUGAUGCCAACAUGCCAAGGUUGGCAGCACAAAUGAUAUAGCUAAGUCAUCCUCAUCAUAAUUAGAUUAUUGUUGGCACCAUCAAUGAUCCAUAUGACAACCCUAUGGAAUUUUUUAUAUGUCUGUGAAGGAGGGUAUUUUCAGGGAUUUCAGGGAAUAUGAUGAUUUGUUGGUUGUGUUCUCAGUUAGCAGCUUUAGUUUCCUGAUUAUCUUUUCUCAACCCAUGUCAAGAUAGAAAAAUUGCAUCCGGCAGACUGUUUACGACAUUGUGGCAUUGGACUAUGAGAAAGUUACGGUCCUUAUUGAUGCAACAACCGCUGCAAGGCCAGAUAUCCAUUUGGCAAGUAUUAGAGAUAUGAUGACUAUUGGCGUGGAAACACCAACCUUGGAAGAGUGGCGCCGUUAGGUUAGCAGGUGGUGUACUUCAUUCUUGGAGCUGACAUACAUGCCUAGGUGCAUCGAAGUCAACAAACGCGCUGCUACCUCUUGCUGACUCUCCAUUCGGCCCCGACAAGUAUGCCUCUGACCUAUCUCAAGAAGAUUUGAGCCGCAGAAUGAUGUGUACAGCGCACCACCAGUUCCUCCGACAACACAGCUGCUGUACUGGUAGCAGCGACCACAACUUUCCACACAAGCGUCGCUAGCUGUGACCGUCAAUGUACCUGAUGCCGUAUAUGCCUCUCCAUCCCGUUAGUCUGCUCGAUUAUUCAGUUAGUUGGAUACAAUAGAAUAUCAUCUUUUACUUCUUGUGGUUAUUUACAAUCUCCUGCAAUCACCUGAUAGAAUUUCAUGAUUGUUUUGUCAUGAAAUAGGUUCUGCCAGCGCCAAGGUUCAACACAUUUUAGUUUUAUGGGAUGGACAUGUUAGUUCAAAUGCUUAAGGGUUUGAUGCUAAAUUGUUCAUAUAAGCUUGCACCUAUUUUUGUAAUUCAUUAGUUAAGAACACUGAUUUUUUUUUGAAAGCUUUAUCAUGACAUCGAUCUUGGUUUUGCCUUACUGCCAUGCAGAGGUUGGAUGGAGCAUCGAGGAAUUCAGGCUUGGGGUGGCACAGUAGUAGGAUAGCAGGAUGAGUUGGAUGUGUUCUUCAGAGACCAGGUGAUGUCGUUGCCGAAAGUCUGCCAUCAUGGGAAAAUUCGGGAUCCCAACAAAAGUGCUUCUGGAUGCUAUGAAGCAACAGCUUAGCCUUCCAAGCGAAAGUAAGACAUUGUAAGCAAGACAUUUCCCAUGACGGCAGACUGAUGACGGCAGACAUAAACUCCUAUGACGACAAACUGAUGACGGCAGACUUAAAAAUGCUUCUGGAUGGUGUGCAGAGGUUUCUUAGUUCUUGUACUGCACCCCAUUCUUUUAGAAAUUGAAACUACUCCAGCGUCCAGUGUUAGCUAAGAGCUAAGAUGAGUACAAGAAUUUUCUGUAGAGAUUGUUGCAAGGAGACAUCUCUGUCCAGUGUUAGCUAAAUUUUAUUGGUCUCGGCAUUGGACUAUCUAUGCAUUGGUCUCACAUCUUAUUUUCGGAACAUUUGAGUACUCUUCAAAUAUGCAUACACUGCAUAUUUUCAGUGAUAGUCUGAAAAUAUGCAUAUACACUGUACAGCAGCAUAUUGAAAACAUUCAGGUUUUAGUAUAACUGAAUUUUUUGUUACAUACACUCUGCGCUUCUUCUAUAGCUGAAUUUUCUGUUACAUACACUCUGCACUUCUGCUUUAACUGAAUUUAUUUUUCAGGUUUUGUACAUCAGCCUACUGAAAACAUUCAGUCAUUGACAAAUCAUGACAUUACAAUCUGACAAAUCAUGCAUGCAAAAUCUGACCAACUGUAAAAGCUUGUCAAAGCUCUCAUUCCUUGUUAUGUUAUAAACUGAAUGCCAAGAUAGAUUUCUCAAUGUACAAAUUGUUUGCACUUUCUGAGCACUGAAAUCUGUAUAUUUUAGAUAAAGUAGCAUUUGCCAGUAGAAGUCAUGGUUGGAUCAACAUAUUUUUCCACUGGAAUCCUUUUUUAAUGCAAGUUUACAGCUACUCAGAGUUCCUAAUUGGAGACUCAA